rnacentral:rRNA from 1 species
UCGAGAAUUUUUCACAAUGGGCGCAAGCCUGAUGGAGCGACGCCGCGUGGGGGAUGAAGGGCUUCGGCUCGUAAACCCCUGUCAGUCACGAGCAAACUCUGGGUGUUAAUACCAUUCAGAUUGAUAGUAGUGACAGAGGAAGGGACGGCUAACUCUGUGCCAGCAGCCGCGGUAAUACAGAGGUCCCAAGCGUUGUUCGGAUUUACUGGGCGUAAAGGGUGCGUAGGCGGACGGGUAAGUUCGAUGUGAAAUCUCCAGGCUUAACUUGGAAAAUGCAUCGAAAACUAUCCGGCUAGAGGAUUGGAGGGGAGACUGGAAUUCUCGGUGUAGCAGUGAAAUGCGUAGAUAUCGAGAGGAACACCAGUGGCGAAGGCGAGUCUCUGGACAAUUCCUGACGCUGAGGCACGAAAGCCAGGGGAGCAAACAGG